rnacentral:rRNA from 1 species
UGGUCAAGUUAUUAAGGGUGCAGGGCGGAUGCCUUGGCACUAGGAGCCGAUGAAGGACGUGAUAAGCUGCGAUAAGCUUCGGGGAGUUGCACGUAAACUUUGAUCCGAAGAUUUCCGAAUGAGGAAACUCACUUAGAGUAAUGUCUAAGUAUCAUUAAGUGAAUACAUAGCUUAAUGAGGGGAACUCAGGGAACUGAAACAUCUAAGGACCUGAAGGAAGAGAAAGAAAUUCGAUUCCGUAAGUAGCGGCGAGCGAACGCGGAUUAGCCCAAACCAAUAAAGUUUUCUUUAUUGGGGUUGCGGACAUAUCAUAACGAAGAGAUAUCGUAAUUGAA